UACGUAGGCAGCGAGCGUUGUUCGGAGUUACUGGGCGUAAAGGGUGUGUAGGCGGUUGUUUAAGUUUGGUGUGAAAUCUCCCGGCUCAACUGGGAGGGUGCGCCGAAUACUGAAUGACUUCGAGUGCGGGAGAGGUGAGUGGAAUUCCUGGUGUAGCGGUGAAAUGCGUAGAUAUCGGGAGGAAUACCUAUGGCGAAAGCAGGCUACUGGACCGUCACUGUCUCUGAUCUGCGAAAGCUAGGGGAGCAAACAGG
rnacentral:rRNA from 1 species